rnacentral:rRNA from 1 species
GAUGAACGCUAGCUACAGGCUUAACACAUGCAAGUCGAGGGGUAACGAGAGGGAAGCUUGCUUUCCUUGUCGACGACCGGCGCACGGGUGAGUAACGCGUAUCCAACCUGCCCCCACCUAGGGAAUAACCUUGCGAAAGUAAGACUAAUACCCUAUAAUUUCCUCAGAUGUCAUCUGACGAGGAAUAAAGAUUUAUCGGUUGUGGAUGGGGAUGCGUCUGAUUAGCUUGUUGGCGGGGUAACGGCCCACCAAGGCAACGAUCAGUAGGGGUUCUGAGAGGAAGGUCCCCCACAUUGAAACUGAGACACGGUCCAAACUCCUACGGGAGGCAGCAGUGAGGAAUAUUGGUCAAUGGGCGGAAGCCUGAACCAGCCAAGUAGCGUGCAGGAUGACGGCCCUAUGGGUUGUAAACUGCUUUUAUACAGGAAUAAAGUUAGCCACGUGUGGUUAUUUGUAGGUACUGUAUGAAUAAGGACCGGCUAAUUCCGUGCCAGCAGCCGCCGUAA